CGGGGCGUAGCGCAGCCCGGUAGCGCACCUGCAUGGGGUGCAGGGGGUCGGUGGUUCAAAUCCACUCGCCCCGACCA
rnacentral:tRNA from 1 species